rnacentral:sRNA from 1 species
GGAUGGAUCACCUCCUUUCUAAGGACAUACAUAUAAAAAUUAUCAUCUUCAGUUUUGAAAGACUUAGGUUAAAAUAUAAGUUUUUCUUUUUACAAAAAAAAGUGUUUCUCUUAUAUAAAAGACCAAAGGGCCUAUAGCUCAGUUGGUUAGAGCACACGCCUGAUAAGCGUGAGGUCGGUGGUUCAAGUCCACUUAGGCCCACCAAUUUUAUAUCAGGAAAAUAUUUACUACUUUGAAGAAAGUUCUUUGAAAAGUAGAUAAACAUGAUUUGCUUAAUUCAAUUAAAAUUGAAGAAAGUAAGGGCGUACAGUGAAUGCCUUGGCACUAAGAGCCGAUGAAGGACGCAAUUAACGGCGAUACACCAUGGGGAGUUGUAAAUAAAUGAAGAUCCAUGGAUUUCCGAAUGGGGCAACCUACUACAGUAAAAUUGUAGUUUUUUGAUUGUAAAAUCAAAAAGGGAACGCAGUGAACUGAAAUAUCUAAGUAACUGCAGGAAAAGAAAGUAAUAACGAUUCCGCUAGUAGUGACGAACGAACGCGGAAGAGCCUUGGAUACUAUUAACUAGUUACAAAAUAAAAAGCAACUUGAAGUUUCUGGAAAGAAACACCAAAGAAGGUGACAGUCCUGUAAGGGAAAACUUUUUAUCUAGAGUAUCCUACAAGUACGGCGAGACACGAGAAAUCUUGUUGGAAGACAGGAGGACCAUCUCCUAAGGCUAAAUACUUCUUAGUGACCGAUAGUGAACUAGUACCGUGAGGGAAAGGCGAA